AUUGAACGCUGGCGGCAGGCCUAACACAUGCAAGUCGAACGGUAACAGGAAGAAGCUUGCUUCUUUGCUGACGCGUGGCGGACGGGUGAGUAAUGUCUGGGAAACUGCCUGAUGGAGGGGGAUAACUACUGGAAACGGUAGCUAAUACCGCAUAACGUCGCAAGCCCAAAGAGGGGGACCUUCGGGCCUCUUGCCAUCGGCUGUGCCCAGAUGGGAUUAGCUAGUAGGUGGGGUAACGGCUCACCUAGGCGACGAUCCCUAGCUGGUCUGAGAGGAUGACCAGCCACACUGGAACUGAGACACGGUCCAGACUCCUACGGGAGGCAGCAGUGGGGAAUAUUGCACAAUGGGCGCAAGCCUGAUGCAGCCAUGCCGCGUGUAUGAAGAAGGCCUUCGGGUUGUAAAGUACUUUCAGCGGGGAGGAAGGGAGUAAAGUUAAUACCUUUGCUCAUUGACGUUACCCGCAGAAGAAGCACCGGCUAACUCCGUG
rnacentral:rRNA from 1 species